AUGUUAUUACUGGGAAGAGACUUAAUAUAUUUACUAAAAGUCAAUGUAAUGAAUUGUUUACAACUACCUGUGUUCCUAGAUUUCAUGUAUAUUAAUUGGUAUAAUAAGUUUUAAGACUAGAAACCAUGUUCUAGUGUUGAGUGCAUUUGCAUGUAUAUAUGCAAUAUGGGCAUUAUUAAUCACCCCACUUGUUAUUGAUGUGUUCACUAAGUACAAGAUAUAGGGGGAAGGCAGAGUGAAAGUACAAGCCUGCACGUUAUUUGUUUAGCUAUGUUUUAUUUUAGCAGUGUGUCUCUUGUGUCGAACAGGUUAAGCAUGAGAGAGAUCAGCCAAGACUGGAUCCAGGACCAUCCCUUUCUGAACAAGUCUAUUGUGCAUGGUAGUAGGUCCUGCAUUGCUGUGCUGUGCAUGGUAGUAGGUCCUGCAUUGCUGUGCUGCACACAGCUCUUUUGAAUGAAGAUUAUUGGCAUUGAUAAGGCUUUGUAAAAUAAUUUUUUAAAUUCCAAAUUACUAAUUUUAGUUUAGGGAUUAUAGCUGCAGAUGUAAUUACAAUUUCUGAUACAAGCUCAGUGUUCCUGGAAAUGGUAAGUGAUUACACUUCUUCUUGGCUAUUUCAAGUUCUAGAAGAGUUCCACUACCCUUUCCUCAAAGGUUGUCAAGCUAGUUCCUUGUGUCCUACAUGGUAACGAAUUGUACAUUUCUCAUAGGAGCAUCUGUGUUGGGAAUGAGAAGUAGUAGAGAAUAAUUAGUCUCAUUUUUUUUUUUUAGUCGGAUAGUACAAGCAGUAGAACCUGAACCCCCAUUUAUAGAAGACAGAGUUGUGAUGGCCAUACGGCUUCACAGUCACAUUGUGCGGGUUCAGAUUCUGGCGCUGUGACUUAAAGCCUAUGGGACCUGACAGAUAACCUUGGUCAUCUUUACACUGUACCUUGCAGUGUGCUGUUCAUAGGAUCCUUUCCAUAUCUUAUUUGGCAUUACUGUGUUGGAGGAUUAAACCUCUUAGUCCUGUGUUUUGAAUGUCUGAAGAAGUGUUUCAGAGUGUAGAUAGUCUAAAAUGAGCUGGACUCAGAGAUGAAAGAAUGUAAUCUUAACAUUGCUGUAUUUGAAGCACUUUUCAAACCCAAUGGUAACUACUGCUAAUAUUUGUAUAUCAUGCUAACUUAGUGAUAAAUUAUGUAAACUGUACAUAUUCUAAAAUACCUAUUUAGAUCUUCUGCAGUGUUCUUGUCUGUACCUGAAAUUUAUGUUUUUGAAGUCUUUAUAACAGCAGACUUAAAAAAAAAAGGCUAGUGUUUGAUUGAUGCCUCCACAUGACCUGUUGAUCUGUAACAUGAUGGAAAAUGCUUUUGUUAACAGUGCUAAUUGAUACAAGUGAGUUAGUUACAUUCAUGAUUUAAGUAAAAGAUGUACAAAAUUUAAAAAAAUGGUUAUAGAAUCUUAAGCUUUUUAGAGAAUGGAGGGAAGGGAGAACCUUUUGUUCUAAGUUGUAAAUAGAUUAACAGUGUCACAAUCUUUUAUAAACUAUUAGUGAGUUUAUAAGUCAUUAAAUGAUAUAAAAUAACAUUUUAUAGAUAAUUGGAAUUGUAAAAGUAAGUCUGUUACUUAAUUUUUUCUGGAAUUUUCUGCUAAGAAGAUAUGGUCUGGUUAAAUUCAUAAUGAGACUAACUGCAGUCUGGCAAUCCUUUAGAAUUGCUGAAAACAAAAAAACAAAACAAAACAAAAAAAAAACCCCAAGAAUGCAAAGUAUGUCAGCGCCUCAGAUGACCUCAGGGUUUAGAAAUAGCCUUGUUUUCUUGAGUGAAAUACUAGAGUUAGAGAGGCUGCAUAAGCCUUCCUUCUCUUGUCCUCUGUGGCAGUGUUCACUGAUGCCAAAGCAAGGACACGUGUCUCUGCUGUCAGAAUCAUGUCUUAUGAAACAGGAAGUCUAGGUCUGCUUUUCUGAGACACUGUGGUUUUAUGCCUUAAUUAGAUAUGGAGAAUUUUGUCUGUGUAACGUAGAUUUUUGUCUCUGACUGUUGAAGGGAAUUUUUGUUUUGUUUUGUAGUCUGGUGCUUUCAAUUGCUAGGUCUGAAAAUGUACUUAGAAGAUUUGUUUAGAGACAAAGAGAGGCACAUCUGUAGACUUGAGUGCUUUGCUGGUAGGUUGUGAGUCUUUAGCCAUGCACAAAGACAGAUGAGAGAAUCAAAUAAAUAAUAAAUAAAUCAAAUAAAUAGAAGAGAGAUCAUUAAAGAGAGAAUCAAAAAUUGAGAGGUUAGUAAGAUUGUAGACGAUCUUUCCUAGCCUGUCAAGUUCUGAGAGUCCUUGGAGUUUGUUAUUUCUAGGCCCUGAGUUAGCCCUGGUUUUCUGUACUCUUCCAAGUUCUCAUCUCAGGGAGCCUGAUUCUGCUUUCAUUAAGCCAUGCUGAAGAAAUGGUAGUGUUCUGUGUUAGUCUUUUUCUUUUUUUAAAAGGAAAUUAUGAGGAUAAAAUAUAUAAAGAUAAUUUCUAUUGGUAAUUAGAAUACACAAAUUUGAAGAAAGACACAAUAAGUAAAUAAUCCUUAGUCUGUUUUAAAAAGAACUAUUUUAUAUAUUGCUUAAGAAAAAUCAUUUUAUAAAUGUUUUUUAAAAAAUAUCAAUAAUGAAGUAACUAAACCUAGGUGUUUAUCAAAUAAAACCAUACAAUUCCAUUUCUCCCUUUUUUUUUUUUUUUGUUAAGAAAAUUUUUGUGGUUUUAUUGUAUCAUGAGGCAUUGAAACAUCUGAACAAAUCAAUAUCUGGGCGGUUGGUGAGGCAGCUGCUUUCUCCUUAACUUCUUUGAGUUACUAGAGCAACUUGUCAGUAG
rnacentral:lncRNA from 1 species